rnacentral:rRNA from 1 species
AUUGAACGCUGGCGGCGUGCUUAACACAUGCAAGUCGAGCGGUAAGGCCCCUUCAGGGUACGACGAGCGGCGAACGGGUGAGUAACACGUGGGUGACCUGCCCUCAGCUCUGGGAUAAGCCUGGGAAACUGGGUCUAAUACCGGAUAUGACUCCAUGACGCAUGUCGUGGGGUGGAAAGCCUUGUGCGGCUGGGGAUGGGCCCGCGGCCUAUCAGCUUGUUGGUGGGGGAUGGCCUACCAAGGCGACGACGGGUAGCCGGCCUGAGAGGGCGACCGGCCACACUGGGACUGAGACACGGCCCAGACUCCUACGGGAGGCAGCAGUGGGGAAUCUUGCGCAAUGGGCGAAAGCCUGACGCAGCGACGCCGCGUGAGGGAUGACGGCCUGGUGUAAC